rnacentral:rRNA from 1 species
UACGUAGGAGACGAGCGUUGUCCGGAGUUACUGGGCGUAAAGGGUGCGCAGGUGGCGGCGCGCGUGGGGGGUGAAAUCGCCCGGCUUAACUGGGCGGGGGCCUUCCAGACGGCGUGGCUUGAGCAGCGGAGGGGGACGUGGAAUUCCGGGUGGAGCGGUGAAAUGCGUAGAUAUCAGGAGGAACACCUGUGGUGUAGACAGCUUACUGGACCAUUU